AUACGGAGGGUGCAAGCGUUACUCGGAAUUACUGGGCGUAAAGGACGCGUAGGCGGUUUAGAAAGUCAGAUGUGAAAGCCUAUGGCUUAACCAUAGAACUGCAUCUGAAACUCCUAGACUAGAGUGAGGGAGAGGUCAGUGGAAUUGGUGGUGUAGGGGUAAAAUCCGUAGAGAUCACUAGGAAUACUCAUAGCGAAGGCGACUGACUGGAACUUUACUGACGCUGAGGCGUGAAAGCGUGGGGAGCGAACAGGAUUAGAAACCCCAGUAGUCC
rnacentral:rRNA from 1 species